rnacentral:miRNA from 2 species
UGUGCUUGCUCGUCCCGCCUGCA